UUUAAUAUGGCAGAAUAGUGCAAUGAAUUUAAGAUUCAUUUAUAAAGAUAAAUCUUUUAUUAAAA
rnacentral:tRNA from 1 species